GACGAACGCUGGCGGCGUGCUUAACACAUGCAAGUCGAACGGAAAGGCCCUGCUUUUGGGGGGUGCUCGAGUGGCGAACGGGUGAGUAACACGUGAGUAACCUGCCCUUGACUUUGGGAUAACUUCAGGAAACUGGGGCUAAUACCGGAUAGGAGCUCCUGCUGCAUGGUGGGGGUUGGAAAGUUUGGGCGGUUGGGGAUGGACUCGCGGCUUAUCAGCUUGUUGGUGGGGUAGUGGCUUACCAAGGCUUUGACGGGUAGCCGGCCUGAGAGGGUGACGGGCCACAUGGGGACUGAGAUACGGCCCAGACUCCUACGGGAGGCAGCAGUGGGGAAUAUUGCACAGUGGGCGGAAGCCUGAUGCAGCAACGCCGCGUGCGGGAUGACGGCCUUCGGGUUGUAAACCGCUUUCGCCUGUGACGAAGCGUGAGUGACGGUAAUGGGUAAAGAAGCACCGGCUACCUACGU
rnacentral:rRNA from 1 species